UGAAAGUCUUGGCUGAUAGCUGUAAUUGCAGGGUCUUCAAGCUCUUGAAAUGUGUUGAAUAUGACUCCUGCACUGGACUUGGUACCAUCGAUCAUUCCAUUGACGAGCUCGAACAGAUCUUCCGGAUUGUUGGUUUUGAUCACCGGUAAGUCUUUCACUUUGAGAUGUGGAAACUCAGCAACUUGUUCUUCUAAUCGAGAUUCUGAUGCCCAAAUCAAUAAACUCAAUUACAUACAUAUUUUUCAAUAAAGAAAUCAUGGCAUCUAUUAUCAUAUAUAUAUAUAUAUAUAUAUAGUUGAUGAUAUGUAUAGAUAUGUACAAUAUACCCUGAAUAGGGAGAUAACCCUUUUCCCUUAAAAAUGGGAAAGCAGCAAAAACAGAGAAAGAAGUUGAACCGCUAGUUCUCAAAACCAAUCUGGGCAGCUUAAGUUGUCGAGCAGCUUCCCCUGUAAAAGUAAAACCCGCGUCUGAAAUCAAGCAAGAAAUUGGAGAUUCAUGAUCAUCUGAGAUCAACCGAGCCAAACAGUCCGUUAAAGGUUGAAGGCAGUUGGCGUUGAGAACUUUGAGGAAGGCAACGAUAUCUGUUUGGGAUUGAGAGAGGAUAUUUUCAUGGAGGAAAUGAAAGCGGAUGUGAGGGUGGAGAGAAGGGUCUGGAGAGUUGAAGGUGGUGUGGACAACGGUGAUGGAGAAGCCUCUGGUAUGGAGAAGGUUACCCAGUUGGAUCAUGGGACGUAUGUGACCUUGAAAUGGCAAUGGGAACAAGACGACUCUCCUCCCUUUUCUUUCUUCCAUUUUUUUGUGGAUGAUAUGAUUUGCUUCUUCAUCUUUGUACGCCUUUUAUUUUGACAACUUGCCGGUGACUAGAGCCGGGUAAUGCUUAUAUAUAGCAUUUAUAUAUUUCUAUAUAAUUACAAAUAAUAUGAGAACAUGUGGUUGAAAAUUAUUUUAUUCCAAAUUUUGUAAAAUCAUUAAUAAAUUAAACUAAUUGAAAUUAAAAAUAAAAGUUUUUCUCUCCCCACCGACACCAGAACUGCCACCAAUACAACUGCAUACAUUUUGACUAUACACAUAUUAUGAUUAACCGAAUUUUGCCUAUGUUCGAGUUAUAUAAAUAGUUUACGUUUGGAUAAAUUAGGUGAACGAUUGUAUUAUUUGUAGGGUUCCCUCUUUAUAAUAUAUAUAUAUAUAUAUAUGUAUAUAUGAUAUAUAUAUAUAUAAGAUUGUAACUAUUACCGGAACAUGAGGACAGGAAGGGACGGUGAAAAGCGACGUGACUACGACGGCUUUCGGCCUAUUUCAACAGAUGUGAAUUUAAAUUUCUAAAUUCAAAAUUAAGACUUUAAUGUGUUUUUAAAUAUAUUUAUAUAUAAAUUAAUUUUAAUUUAAAACACUAAUUAUAUGGUAUUUAAUUUCCUAAAAAAUAAGAUAAUUACAAUUCAACAUUGAUUAAACCUAAUUAUUUAGUUAAAUAACAAAUUCUACAAAAUUAUAAAUAAAAAUUGUUUAUGUAUAAAUGUCCACUAAAACUCUUAUCUGCAUGUUGUUGUCCAGAUGUAUUAAUGUCCAAACUUCUUUCAUGUUGUAGUACCAUAUGUAUUUAUACAGAGAGAGUAACACUAAUUAAUUAAUUUAAUUACAACUGAUUAACAUUGGUUAUAGGAAUAACCCAUGUUAAUCAACUAAUAUACUUAUAUUAACUCAAUCUGACUUACAUCUAGUUACUUUCUACUACUAACUAUUCUAUAAAUUUUAAAUUGAUGUUAUAAUUAAAACAUUUACAUCCAAUUCAAAUUAAUUAUCUUGGUAAUUCAUUUUUUAACAAAUAAAAUACAAAAUAUUCCACUCCUAUCAAACUUAUUUAUUGUAUUAUGCUAUAUUAAAUAUAUAACUUGUCAAUUAAAUAAUAAGGAUUAAAAGUGGAAUUAAAAUAAAAUAUAUUUAAAUCAAAGGGGACAUUUAACUGUUAAAAAAUUAGUUAUUUCAAUAAAUAUUACAGCACCCAACAUUACAACUAUUUUUUAAUGCGAUUCCGAUUGCAAAAAAAAUAUAUAUAUGUUCUACAUUUUUUAUUCAUUGUACUACUUGGUGCUACUCAAAAAACUUGCCUGAAGCACUUAUUGAGAGGAGAAAACAAGGGAAUCAAAUGACGAAAUGUGACUUACCAGUCUCUCCAGUGAUUCAAAUGAAGACCCAUUGUUUGCCCCCAAACAAUCCCUAGCCUUCUCCUUCCAUUCCAAAACCCUCUUCCUAAUCUCCUUCCCUUCUUCACCCACCAUUGCUCUUCUUAUCACCCUCUCAAUCUCCUCUCUCUCAAUUAACUUACCACUUUCAAAUCCCAACCCAACCCUCCAAAUAUCCCUUGCAUACCUUGCAUUCACCUUUUGAUCGGUAAAACAUGGCAUACAAAUCAUGGGUACCCCUUCACAAACACUCUCCAAUGUUGAAUUCCACCCAUUGUGAGUCCAAAAUACAGCAACUGAAGGAUGGGCCAGAACCUGGAGUUGUGGUGCCCAUUUCACUAUGAGUCCUCUUUCUCUCAAGUCUCCAAUUAACCCUUUUGGCAACAGAUCAACCCAGUCCGACCCGUUUACUAAUCCGGGUCGGACCACCCACAAGAAUGGCUGCUUGCUGUUGGCUAAUCCCCAAGCUAUUUCCACAAAGUCUUGUUCGUUUAGUGCUGCUAAGGUGCCAAAGCUGACAUAGAUGACUGAGCUGGGCGCCUGCUUGUCUAGCCAAGUUAUGGCGGCGGUUUGGUCAGGCUGCGUUGGUGGGCUGUUUGGUAAGAGUUUGUGAAAUGGACCAAUGGGAAAGAUUGGAACUUGAAAAUCUUGGCUGAGAGCUGCAAUUGCAGCGUCUUCAAGCUCUUGAAAUGUGUUGAAUAUUACUCCUGCACUGGACUUGGCUCCAUUGACCAUUCCACUGACGUGCUCGAACAGAUAAUCUGGAUCGCAGGUUUUUAUCACCGGUAAGUCUUUCACUUUGAGAUGUGGAAACUCUGCAACUUGUUCUUCUAAUCGAGAUUCUGGUACCCAAAUCAAUAAACCCAGUUACAGACAUAUUUUUUCAAUAGAAAAAUCAUGACAUCUAUUAUUAUUAUUAUAUAUAUAUAUAUAUAUAUAUAGUUGGUGAAUACGUAUAGAUAUGUAAAAUAUACCCUGAAUAGGGAGAUAACCCUUUUCCCUUAAAAAUGGGAAAGCAGCAAAAACAAAGAAAGAAGUUACACCGCCGGUUCUCAGAACCAAUCUGGGCAGAUUAAGUUGGCGAGCAACUUCCCCAGUAAAAGUAAAACCCGCGUCUGAAAUGAAGCAAGAAAUUGGAGAUUCAUGAUCAUCUGAGAGCAACCGAGCCAAGCAGUCUGUAAAAGAUUGAAGGCAGUUGGUGUUUAGAACUUUGAGGAAGGCAAUGAUAUCUGUUUGGGAUUGAGAGAGAAUAUCUUCAUGGAGGAAAUGAAAGGUGAAGUGAGGGUAGAGAGAAGGGUCAGGAGAGUUGAAGGUGGUGUGGACGAUGGUGAUGGAGAAUCCUCUGGUAUGGAGAAGGUUACCCAGUUGGAUCAUGGGACGUAUGUGACCUUGAAAUGGCAAUGGGAACAAGACGACUCUCCUCCCUUUUCUUUCUUCCAUUUUUAUUUUUUUUGGUGUGGAUGACAUGAUCUGCUUCUCCAUUC
rnacentral:lncRNA from 1 species